ACAGGUAGUCAAGAUGAGAAUUCUAAGGUGAGCGAGCGAACUCUCGUUAAGGAACUCGGCAAAAUGACCCCGUAACUUCGGGAGAAGGGGUGCUCUUUAGGGUUAACGCCCAGAAGAGCCGCAGUGAAUAGGCCCAAGCGACUGUUUAUCAAAAACACAGGUCUCUGCUAAACCGUAAGGUGAUGUAUAGGGGCUGACGCCUGCCCGGUGCUGGAAGGUUAAGAGGAGUGGUUAGCUUCUGCGAAGCUACGAAUCGAAGCCCCAGUAAACGGCGGCCGUAACUAUAACGGUCCUAAGGUAGCGAAAUUCCUUGUCGGGUAAGUUCCGACCCGCACGAAAGGCGUAACGAUUUGGGCACUGUCUCAACGAGAGACUCGGUGAAAUCAUAGUACCUGUGAAGAUGCAGGUUACCCGCGACAGGACGGAAAGACCCCGUGGAGCUUUACUGUAGCCUGAUAUUGAAAUUCGGCACAGCUUGUACAGGAUAGGUAGGAGCCUUUGAAACGUGAGCGCUAGCUUACGUGGAGGCGCUGGUGGGAUACUACCCUAGCUGUGUUGGCUUUCUAACCCGCACCACUUAUCGUGGUGGGAGACAGUGUCAGGCGGGCAGUUUGACUGGGGCGGUCGCCUCCUAAAAGGUAACGGAGGCGCUCAAAGGUUCCCUCAGAAUGGUUGGAAAUCAUUCAUAGAGUGUAAAGGCAUAAGGGAGCUUGACUGCGAGACCUACAAGUCGAGCAGGGUCGAAAGACGGACUUAGUGAUCCGGUGGUUCCGCAUGGAAGGGCCAUCGCUCAACGGAUAAAAGCUACCCCGGGGAUAACAGGCUUAUCUCCCCCAAGAGUUCACAUCGACGGGGAGGUUUGGCACCUCGAUGUCGGCUCAUCGCAUCCUGGGGCUGUAGUCGGUCCCAAGGGUUGGGCUGUUCGCCCAUUAAAGCGGUACGCGAGCUGGGUUCAGAACGUCGUGAGACAGUUCGGUCCCUAUCCGUCGUGGGCGUAGGAAAUUUGAGAGGAGCUGUCCUUAGUACGAGAGGACCGGGAUGGACAUACCUCUGGUGUACCAGUUGUCGUGCCAACGGCAUAGCUGGGUAGCUAUGUGUGGACGGGAUAAGUGCUGAAAGCAUCUAAGCAUGAAGCCCCCCUCAAGAUGAGAUUUCCCAACUUCGGUUAUAAGAUCCCUCAAA
rnacentral:rRNA from 1 species